UAUGGCUCAGGAUGGACGCUAGCGACAGGCUUAACACAUGCAAGUCGAGGGGCAGCACGGGAGUAGCAAUACAACUGGUGGCGACCGGCGCACGGGUGAGUAACGCGUAUGCAACCUACCUAUCAGAGGGGAAUAACCCGGCGAAAGUCGGACUAAUACCGCAUAAAACAGGGGCACCGCAUGGUGAUAUUUGUUAAAGAAAUUCGCUGAUAGAUGGGCAUGCGUUCCAUUAGGUAGUUGGUGAGGUAACGGCUCACCAAGCCGACGAUGGAUAGGGGAACUGAGAGGUUGGUCCCCCACACUGGUACUGAGACACGGACCAGACUCCUACGGGAGGCAGCAGUGAGGAAUAUUGGUCAAUGGGCGAGAGCCUGAACCAGCCAAGUCGCGUGAAGGAAGAAGGAUCUAUGGUUCGUAAACUUCUUUUGCAGGGGAAUAAAGUGCAGGACGUGUCCUGUUUUGUAUGUACCCUGAGAAUAAGGAUCGGCUAACUCCGUGCCAGCCGCCGC
rnacentral:rRNA from 1 species